GUGCUUGCUUCGGCAGCACAUAUACUAAAAUUGGAACGAUACAGAGAAGAUUAGCAUGGCCCCUGCACAAGGAUGACAUGCAAAUUUGUGAAGCAUUCCAUAUUUUU
rnacentral:snRNA from 1 species